rnacentral:rRNA from 1 species
CAGCAGCCGCGGUAAUACGUAGGGUGCAAGCGUUAAUCGGAAUUACUGGGCGUAAAGCGUGCGCAGGCGGUUAUACAAGACAGAUGUGAAAUCCCCGGGCUCAACCUGGGAACUGCAUUUGUGACUGUAUAGCUAGAGUACGGCAGAGGGGGAUGGAAUUCCGCGUGUAGCAGUGAAAUGCGUAGAUAUGCGGAGGAACACCGAUGGCGAAGGCAAUCCCCUGGGCCUGUACUGACGCUCAUGCACGAAAGCGUGGGGAGCAAACAGGAUUAGAUACCCGCGUAGUCCCUGUCUCUUAUAC